rnacentral:siRNA from 1 species
CGAGUUGCACACUUCUCUGAUUCC